GGGAAUGUAGCUGAGUGGUAGAGUGUUUGCCUAGCAUGCAUAAAGUCCUGGGUUCGAUUCCUCAGUACCA
rnacentral:tRNA from 1 species